rnacentral:rRNA from 1 species
UCCUACGGGAGGCAGCAGUGGGGAAUUUUGGACAAUGGGGGCAACCCUGAUCCAGCCAUGUCGCGUGAGUGAAGAAGGCCUGGUUGUAAGCUCUUUUCUAGCCGGAACGAAACGGUGGAUGUUAACACCAUCCAUUACUGACGGUACCGGAAGAAGAAGCACCGGCUAACUACGUGCCAGCAGCCGCGGUA